AAAAUUUCCAAGCUGUAUAAAUGGGUAAAUAAUUGUAACGUUAACACUGUACGUCAGUUUAGAGAAAAGUGUCGACUAAAGGAAUAAAUCUAAACGCGUGAUUCUCGCGCCCGUUUGUUUCCUGUCAAAAUGAGUCACAAAAUUAAAGCAUUAUUGUUAUUGCUUAUUUUAAGCCCUAAAAUGUGUUCGUCUCGUACUUGAAAGGGAAACCGCAACUUUCUUCUGGUUUGGAAAUAAGGAUCGAAGUUAAUUGAAAGCUGGGUUUAAUUUGGAGAACUUCAAUGUCUCAAAGAGCUUUCCCGGUAGGAUCUUAAUAUGCCUUUAAACUGCACAUUCACUGCAGUUAUAUAUGUAUAGGGGCAUGAAUGGCCAUAUCAUCAUCUUUAUCAUAAUCAUUUUGUCUUUCUUUAGACUGAAGAAAUGGACACAGGUGACAGUGCAGCUCCACAUGUUUGCUUUGUACUGGUGUUUCUCGCUGCUUCUUACCUUCCAUGUGCUGAAGUUGGACAAAGGUUAAAGGAGAGGCUCUGGAAGAAAGUGCUGCUUGGUGUUUCCGACUACAUUUCCUUCACUUUGCUCAAAGUUCCAGCAGAAGGCUCCGUACCAAGCAAAGCAGAAGAAAUCCAAGUCGGCCGAAUUUCUGAUGGGUGAGCCCUGCUUGAUGAGUUAUUGCUCAUAAUUUGUGUAAGGAUUAAUUAACUAAUUACAGACAAAUGGCUGUGGGCUAAAUUUUGCUCUUGCUUGUCAGGGCGCAAUUUGUAAUUAUUUUAAUCAUUUAUUCUCUUUUUUUUCCUUCCUCUCUCUCUCUCUCUCUCUCUCCAAGAUUCAGAUUUAAUUUUAACCUAAUUGUGU
rnacentral:lncRNA from 1 species